rnacentral:snRNA from 1 species
AGAUAUGAGGGCGAUCUGGCUGUGACAUCUGUCACCCCAUUGAUUGCCAGGGUUGAUUCAGCUGACCUGGCUGGUUAGGUGGGCGUCCCCUUCCUCCCUCACCACUCCAUGUUCUUCCCUCCAGAAGCUGCACGCUCGAAGAGGACAACCAACCCUGCUAGAGGAGGAUCGUUCUUCAGGCAUGGGAAUACAAGUAGCUGGGCUCCCCUGCUAGAACCCCCAAACAACUCUCAAGACCAACAGACAGGAGAACAAGGUGGGAAUUGGGAGACCUGAGAACUAGUGCUUUUGGUUCAGCCACAAAUUCACU